ACAUAUCAGACAAUCGCUGUAAGACUCGCGCAAGCGAGCUUUAUAGAGGAAAGUCCGAGCAGUACCUCUGGUGAAAGCUGGAGGAGAACGGUAGCGGGUAACGCCCGUCCAUCGCGAGAUGCGAGGUGAGAACAGUGACGAAUCCCUUUAGUGGGAGUGAAACGGCAAAAUCCUUACCAGGCUGCAAGGCCGUGCUGAUUUGAUAGAAAUAUUGAGUCGGAGUGCCGCUUGAGGUUUACUGUGAAGUAAAUCCCAGACAAAUGAUUGUCGUCAGUCCGGCAUGGCCGAGCUGAUACAGAACUCGGCUUAUCGAUAUGUCACA
rnacentral:RNase_P_RNA from 1 species